GACGAACGCUGGCGGCGUGCCUAAUACAUGCAAGUAGAACGCUGAAGCUUGGUGCUUGCACCGAGCGGAUGAGUUGCGAACGGGUGAGUAACGCGUAGGUAACCUGCCUGGUAGCGGGGGAUAACUAUUGGAAACGAUAGCUAAUACCGCAUAAGAGUAGAUGUUGCAUGACAUUUGCUUAAAAGGUGCAAUUGCAUCACUACCAGAUGGACCUGCGUUGUAUUAGCUAGUUGGUGAGGUAACGGCUCACCAAGGCAACGAUACAUAGCCGACCUGAGAGGGUGAUCGGCCACACUGGGACUGAGACACGGCCCAGACUCCUACGCGAGGCAGCAGUAGGGAAUCUUCGGCCAUGGACGGAAGUCUGACCGAGCAACGCCGCGUGAGUGAAGAAGGUUUUCGGAUCGUAAAGCUCUGUUGUAAGAGAAGAACGAGUGUGAGAGUGGAAAGUUCACACUGUGACGGUAUCUUACCAGAAAGAGACGGCUAACUACGUG
rnacentral:rRNA from 1 species